rnacentral:sRNA from 1 species
GGUUUCCGACAUUCAAUGGAACAAUUGGACAUGCAUCAACCCCCAGUGCUUCGGUGAAAUCCGUACAACUCCAGAUUUUCGUGAUAUUCGUGAAGUACACGGACACACGGCAAAUUGUCCACCGCCCGACGAAAUUCAAAUCGCCGUUCGCAUCGCCGUCUACGACACCCGUCUUCUCGCCGAAUUCACCGAUACUCCGUUGGAAAAUCUGUAUUUCGGUGCAGUUGAGAGGCUUAAAAUCGAUUGCGCCGAUGGUUUUGUGCUAUUCCCACCGUUUGAGGUCGUGAAAUCCACGUUGGAAGAUCAUCGGCACAAUAAGAUUUAUCGAAAGCGAUUUGAGAUGCAAAAUUUACGCGAUAAACAGCGGAAAAUGAAUAUGACACCGGAUGAGGUGGUUUUUGCUGAGAAUACGUCUGGAAUGAUUCGGUUUCGAAGGACUAAACCGUUUCCGAUGGUACUGUGAACAGAAAAACGGAGAAAAAUAGUGCAGAAAACCCUUUAAAACCCGCAAAAAAAAUUGGUGAGGCUCAGAGAAUCUUGUAGUUUGUAGUCUCUGGGCCUCAACCAAUAUUUAUUAUAGCGAUUUUUUUUCGGUUUUCGAAUAGAUUUUGGUUUUUUUUCACUUUUUUCCUAUAAAAUUCGAAAAAUAUAGAUAAAUUUUGCUUGUUUUGCACAAAAAAGUGUUUUUUUGCGCAAAAAACCCCAUGAAGCACACGAAAAAAUUUGGUGAGGCUCAGAGAAUUGUGUAGUUUGUAGUCUCUGAGCCUCAACCAAUUUUCUUUAUUUUUUUCUUGGAAAAAAGGUGAAAAAUAACAGUUUUCUCAGCAAUUUUUUUGCUAUUUAUCACAAUUUCUGCAUUUGCAUCAGAAAAUCGAAUGGUUGAGGCUCAGACUACAAACUACACUUUUUCAUAGCCUCAACCACCACAAAAAAUUCAAUUUUUCGGAGUUAACUUUGCUAAAAUUACGCCAUUUUCACCUAAAAAUUGGAAAAAAAAUUCAUGUUAUUGGCUACAAACUACAAUAACCUUUUGGUGAGGCUCUCAAAUUUUGUAGUUUGUAGUGUCUGAGCCUCAACCAAAUUUAAUUUUUUGAUUGAAAUGGUUGAGGCUAAGCGCAUAUUGUAGUUUGUAGUGUAUUUUCACGAAUACGGACUCAUUUUUCUCAGGUUUUCUUGAAAAAAAAAAUUUUUUAAGCUAAAAAACGGGACAAAAAUUAGGUUUUAUUUAGAAUAUGGUUGAGGUUAUCAAAUGUUGUAGUUUGUAGUCUGAUAGCCUCACCCAAUUAAUCUGGUUUUCUCAGAAUUUUCUCGAAAAUCGCUCGAAAACGGUGAAAUCCGGUAUUUUUUUAAAAUAAAAAAUCACAGUGUUUCAUAGAUUUACAAAAUAUGGUUGAGGCUCUUCGAUUUUGUAGUUUGUAGUGGGUGAGCCUCAACCAAAAAUUACCGAAUUUUCACGAAAACUGGCGCAAUUUUCUCGGAUAUUCAUGAUUUUUAACCCAAAUUGUCACUAAAACAUAGUUUUUCGUCGAAAAAGAGACUACAAACUACACAUUUUUCAAGCUAUAUAAACAAUUAAAAAUUUGAAAUAUGGUUGAGGCCAUCAUAGUUUGUAGUUUGUAGUAUGAGCCUCAACAAAAAAAACAGUUUUAAAAAAAUGUUAAAUAGCACUUUUAAAACAUGAAAUUUUCAAUUAAAACAGCGGAAAAUUCGAAUUUUUUGGAUUUUUUUCCAAUAUUAAUCCGUUAAAAAAAAACUAAAAAGCACACUACAAACUACACCAGCUUCACCCAAAAAAUCCGUUUUUUCAGUCAAUCUGCAACGUUUGUGGAGAGGAAAUUUCGAGCACAAAUCUUCCGUCACAAGAUCAACUGAUUUCUCAUUAUAUGUAUACACAUGGACGAAGAAUGACUAUUGAGAGAUAUGAAUUCAAGGAUGUUAACACUUUUGAG